UACAGAGGGUGCGAGCGUUGUUCGGAAUUAUUGGGCGUAAAGGGCGCGUAGGCGGUGCGGUAAGUCACCUGUGAAAUCUCCUGGCUCAACUGGGAGCUUGCAGGCGAAACUGCCGUGCUGGAGUGUGGGAGAGGUGCGUGGAAUUCCUGGUGUAGCGGUGAAAUGCGUAGAUAUCAGGAGGAACACCGAUGGCGAAGGCAGCUCUCUGGCCUAUAACUGACGCUGAGGUGCGAAAGCGUGGGGAGCAAACGGG
rnacentral:rRNA from 1 species